rnacentral:rRNA from 1 species
CCUACGGGCGGCAGCAGUGAGGAAUAUUGGUCAAUGGACGAGAGUCUGAACCAGCUAAGUAGCGUGAAGGAUGACUGCCCUAUGGGUUGUAAACUUCUUUUAUAUGGGAAUAAAAUGUUCCACGUGUGGGAUUUUGUAUGUACCAUAUGAAUAAGGAUCGGCUAACUCCGUGCCAGCAGCCGCGGUAAUACGGAGGAUCCGAGCGUUAUCCGGAUUUAUUGGGUUUAAAGGGAGCGUAGGUGGAUUGUUAAGUCAGUUGUGAAAGUUUGCGGCUCAACCGUAAAAUUGCAGUUGAAACUGGCAGUCUUGAGUACAGUAGAGGUGGGCGGAAUUCGUGGUGUAGCGGUGAAAUGCUUAGAUAUCACGAAGAACUCCGAUUGCGAAGGCAGUUCACUGGACUGCAACUGACACUGAGGCUCGAAAGUGUGGGUAUCAAACAGGAUUAGAUACCCCUGUAGUC